UUAUCCAAACUUUUGCUCAAACAGCAUCAAAUUAGGCAAGGAAUCAUAUAACCCACGCUGUUUGCACCAUUUCAUUGCAGAAACGGAAAACUGAUCAUCUCAUCAUACAAAAAUCCAGCUCACUACUUUCAAUCUAGUACUUCACUGAUUGCUUCCUAUUGAAGCUCCAGUUAUCCAAGUGGACAAGACUUCGGGAAUGCAAUGGCAGGAAAAACUCAUUCUAUUAUUUCUGGAAGUGUUAAAGGGACAUUCAGUUGAUGAGGCAAGUCAAGUGCUACUAGUUACGUAGGGCAUGAUAAAAAAAGUUUUGAAAUAAAACAGUGAACAUAUUGUAAGGAUACAUGAAAUUGGAAUUGAAAAGAAGAGCCACCAACCCUCAGAAUUUUGCUCAACAAUCAUUCAACAUAAUAUUCCUUCUUCAAUGACAGUUGUUCUAUACUGCAGUCAAUGUCCAUGUUAAGGCAUUAUGAACCAAUAUUUAGAAAAUGAUCUUCAACUUCUCCAAAACCCCCUUCCAUUUUCAGAAACCAUGGCACACCGAGCAACGCAACUGAAGAUCACCCUGCGUCAAUUGAAACGGGAUCAGAACCGCCGACGAUCGCCAACUCGCUCGGAAAGGAUCCGCCAAGUACAGCAGCUAAUCCGACAGCUGGAUAGUCAGUUUCGCCAGAUGUCCGACCAAGACUUGAAAAAGCCCGUAAGAGUUAACGGUUUUACGUUUCCCCUAUUCUGCGAGGAGGACAUCGAGCGACUCGAGCUGAUGGUACAGCGGAAUCCAAGUAUUCGUGAGCAGAUUGUUAACUAUCUGUGCAUGCGGAAAUCAUUUAGUCAUACGGUCGAGGAAUGUUUUAGGAUUUUUUCACCGAUGAGGCCAUGGUGCGGUACAACUGCAGAGGGCUUGAUCGCGAUCAGUACCCGCGAAAGGCUAUGAUGAACUACAGCAUUUUCACAGAUUGUAUGGUCGAUGCUUGGAGUUCUCACGGAGUGUCAAUGGAAAAGAUUCAUAGUGAGUUGAGGAAAGCUGUCUUCAAGAUUGGACACAGACGGUACUCGAACAAGUGUGCCAGGAAAAAAAGAUUUUUAGAAAGAGCGUGUGAUUUGGAAUGAUCUAACAAAUCAGAAAAACAUAUUUGGUAUAUCUGAUAGAAUCUAAAUAUAUAACUGGAGCUUUCGUGAAAAAUCGCUUGUUUUCUGAAAUGGAGUCUUGAUGAAAGAAAUACUAAAAUUUUAUUUUGUUCUAAGAUAAUUAAAGUUAUUCUUUAGCAAUUAGGAAAAACUGAAACAUUGUAAAUAAAGUCACUCAUAUUGUUUCAAAUCAUUAUUUCUUUUAUUCCAGGCACGAUGACCCAAGUCCAGCCUACAACAUUACCCAUCGUAGGGCAGUGGUACAAAACCAAUUUAACGUUCACCGAAGGUCACAGUAGAAAGCUGUUACUGGAUUUACAGGGCUACACACUGGGUCCGAAAAGAAUUGACAAUCGUGUAACUUGGUGGCAAUGCUCAAAAAGAUACUGCCAGGCACGAGCCGCUACCUACGAUGAUAAGUACAUCAGAUUUGGAGAGUUAUAUCACAAUCAUCCGAUAAAAACGGCGCCCAAAACAUGGAUGACUCUAGUGCUUGCUGAUCUAUCUUUUCUAAAUUCAAAAAACAAAAAACCAUAUUGUACGAACAAAAACUUCAAAACACGUGCCGCUUUUAAUAACGAAAGGAAUAUCAAAUUUAAAGAACUUUGCGACGUUGUUGACUCAUCUGUUUCCUUUUGAUUUGUCUGUUUUCCAAAAUUUAGUUCUAGUAUAACAUUUUGUUUAUUUAAUCGAUGUUAGCCUUGAAUUGGCUGUAAAAAUACAAUGAGUUUCUUUACAAUCUACUACAUCAUUUCUAUGACAUGUUUGAAAUAUUUAUCAUAAUCUCAAUAUCUGCCUUGUCCUUUCAUAAUAAGGCUCUGAGACCAUACAAUAGUAAUUCUCUAAACAAUUGUGAAAAUCGCCUUGUGUAAUAAAUUCACUACCCAUAACAUAAAGCCAUUGAUUUUUUUUUUGUGUUUUUUUUUAUUCUAGCCAUGCCAACUCAAGUCCGAUCUACAAUGUUGCCCAUCGUAGGGCAGUGGUACGAAACCAAUUUUACGUUCACCAAAAGUCGCCGAGGCAAGCUGUUACUGGAUCUACAGGGCUACACGCUGAGACAGAUAAGAAUUGGCAAACGAAUUACAUGGUGGUACUGCUCAAAGAAAACCUGCCUGGCACGUGCCGCUACCUUGGGUGAUCGGUUCAUCAGUUUCGGAGAGUUAUAUCACAAUCAUCCUAUUCAAACUGGUUCUUCAGCGUGGAUUCCUCUAGUACCUACCGAUUUAUCUUUUCUACCAAGUUCAAAAGAUAUGGCCAAAAAAUGGAAAACGAAGAAAAGUCCAAAUGGGUUCUUGGCAAGCUCAAAGGAAAUCAAAUAUGUAUACAAUUCAUAAGAAUACACAGACUAUAUAAGGAAGCAUCCAGCCACCAAACGUGGUAGUCUUGUAUGAACAAAAACUCCAAAGCAUGACUGUUGAGUCAUCUGUUUGAUUUGUCUGUUUUUGAAAAUCCAGUUCUAUUUCUUUACAUAGUAUCACCAGUAUAAAUUGUAUAAGAAGAAAACAUCCAGCCAGCUAACUUUGUGGUAUUGUAUGAACAUAUGUGCCGAGCACGUGCCGCCACUAUCGAUGAAAGGCACAUCAAAUUUGGAAAACUGUAUCACGAUCAUCCGACAGGGAAGAUAUCGACAUUGUUUAAUCCUCUGUUUCCUACCGAUUUGUCUUGUCUACCGAAUCGGAAACAGAUUGUCAGAGUGACGAAAAAGUAUUCAAAACUGUUAGGAUUGUGGCUGAUCAAAGAAUCACCUUCUUUGAAUUGGAAGACUGAGUAGUGCCUUGCUUACCAAUAAUGGCGAGAUAACCGAAAACACAUCGAAAUGAAAAUUCCUGGCCGUUUAACUUAUCAUUGCUAGCGUAAACCAACGCUGAUUUUUUUGUAUAAUCUAGUACCUCUUUUCAAAAGUUCAUUUGGUAUAUCUGACAGAAUCUCAACAUCUUCCUGGUCCUUCCAUAAUGUGACUCUGGAGACAGUACGCUAGAUGUUCUCUAAAUCGUGAGGAAAGACGUACUAGAAUGUGAUUCUAUUCGUAGUUUAAACUUUCUGUGUAAGUGAAAAUCAAAAGUGAAUUACGAAUAAAAUUGAGCAAGGUGUGAAUAUUUGCCAUUAAUUCAUUCAUAAAGUUUCGAAAUGUUUGUAUUUUUCUGCACAUGUCGAUAAUAAAUGUUGAUAAUGCCCAUCGUAGAGCAGUGGUUCGAUUCAAAUUUUAGAAUUACGACGCGUUGUUGAGGCGAGCUGCGUCUGAAAAUAACUGGUAAACGAAUAACUUAGUGGUACUGUUCAAACCAAAUCAAUUCUGCAAUAAAUUAUUUAUAUAUAAGAAUCUUAGUAGCAUACAUACCAAAUAUGCUGUGCUAAUCGACUAAUCAUUCGUGUGACUUUGUCUAACCUAGAAUUUAUUUCCGUUUCAGCCAAUGGAUACUACAUUUUGGGGGUGAAAUUUAUGGAACGCGAGGAAAUUAAUGCACUUCUGCUUCCUCCAUAUCUAGCGGUUUGAACCAAGUGCAUUGCCGGAUUGAAAGAGUGACUUCGGUUUUUGGUAUUUUUAUUGUGGAUCUGUGGCAUCGAACCGGUUUCCGUAGUAGCACCAUUGACAUCCGCUAUGCGUUAAACAUAAGGUAGAAACUAGUGAGCGCUACUUUCUACAGCUUUCGACGAAAUGUUCAGCGCAUAGCAACGGUAGCGGAAAUCAAUUAAGUGAUUUCGGAAAUCAAUUGGGUGACAAAUUCACUAUACAGCGUUUCCAUAUCGUAAACUAUAAAGUAAUUCUUAGUAUAAUCCAUAGGAAUUGCCGUCGGUGUUCACGCCGCUGAAAAGAAGCAACCUACAAGGAGCCCAAGAAUCAGAUUCACCGAAAGUUGCGCACGGAAAUCAGUCACGAUAGCAGCAAUGGAACGCACAAGCUUAGAUAAGUUGGUUUAAAAAAGGGAGCCUUCUUUGGGAAGCCGGCAAAACAACGAGCAUCCGUUCAAGGAAGCAUCGUAUGUACAUCACUUAUCUGCUUGUCGACGAAUUCAUCAAUAAGUUUGGCAGAUUAACACGUGAGAAACUAGUCCGUUAUGCCACAGAACUUUAAAGCAUUUUUUCCAAUAUCGUUAUUUUGCGCGUUUUGUCGUACAAACAUGAAUAUGUUUUCAAAACAUCCUACUAA